rnacentral:rRNA from 1 species
UACGUAGGGUGCGAGCGUUGUCCGGAAUUAUUGGGCGUAAAGCGCGCGUAGGCGGACCUGCAAGUCGGGGGUGAAAGCCCGAGGCUCAACCUCGGAACUGCCUUCGAUACUGCGGGUCUCGAGUCCGGGAGAGGUGAGUGGAAUUCCUAGUGUAGAGGUGAAAUUCGUAGAUAUUAGGAAGAACACCAGUGGCGAAGGCGGCUCACUGGCCCGGUACUGACGCUGAGGCGCGAAAGCGUGGGGAGCAAACAGG